AUCAUUGUGCCUCCUUUAAAAACACAGCUUGGCGACUGUACUGGAGCAACACAGGCCUCAGGUCUCCUUAGCAGUAGUAAGACCAAGCCAGUGGCCUCAGUGAGUGGGCAGUCAUCUGGAUGCUGUAUCACUCCCACAGGGUACCGAGCUCAACGAGGGGGAGCCAGCGCGGUGCAGCCACUCAACCUUAGCCAGCAAUUUUGGACGUUGGAAGAGCUCAGAAGCCCGUCUUCUGCAGUUACGGAGGAAGAAAGGUCGCUCUGAAGUCACCUGUCAUACAUUUGGUCUCGUUGACCUGGUUUUUAUAAAUGUUUUCAGAAGAAGUAAAGCCCUUUAUGAGGGAAAAUGCUGAUAAAAGAUUUGAAAUCUUGU
rnacentral:lncRNA from 1 species